UGUGGGCUUCCUUCUAAUCCUCAUAAUUGGAGCAAAAUGCCCAAAUCUGAUUACUCACAUGAAGCUUAAGGGUUUCCGUUCUUUUCCAACUACGCCAUCUAUCAGUUUUUUUGUACGUUCUCUCUCACACACCUUCAAUGGUGUUUUGAUUGUUUCGAUGACUGAAAUCGAGAUAGAGAAUCUCUUCGUGUGUAUCUACUCGCGUCGUUUAACCUUUUACUCUACUCAAACGAAACGGCGGAGUUACAGAUUCAACGCCAUCAUCGCCUUCUUAACUCCAAAGACCGACGUGUAGCACGAUCUUGACAUUGAUUGUGAAUUACCCUUCUGCAAGGUGGUCUAUUCUUCACCUUUAAAAGGCUUAUGGGAAGCCAGUGAUGCCAGGCGUGGAGGGGAAGGGGAACUGAUGUCUCUUGAUAUGCGCUUACUGGACUCGAAGUUUUCUUGAAAAACAUUAGGAAACUGUUAUAUUCGGAGGUUGACAUGUUUAUGAUUAAUGAAAAGCCGAUUCUCAUCCAUGUGACCACUUCAAACUUUCAGAUACAACCGUCGACAAUCGGUUCCACAGUUGAAGAAAACUCAAGGGACUGACAAAUACAAAAGACAGAAUUUUUUUUUCAUUCUUGAUCCCUAAUAGACGAAGGAAACACGCUAUUAGAGUUGUUGUUCAACUCGCUCUCCAUCUCUUCUGAGGCUAAGUUAGUUGCAUUCAGUUAAAAUUGUUCAUAGGAAUGUGAAAACAAAGAAUAUGCUUUGUUAUCAGAGGAAUCUAAAGAUUACUUAUUUUUGAGUGGCUAGAGUUGAAGCUCAUAAUCCAAAAGAAAUGAUUGAAGAAAGUGGAACUCUCGCAUGGCUCCAUAGGUUCUUGAUGGUAAGGCAUAGAACACUGUUUACAGAGAAACAGGGCACUAGCUCACUCUUCGUCACAAAUAAAAGACACAAGAUGAAGAACAUGUCUACUGUUCCUGUUGCAAGAUUAUUUGGACCGGUGACUUUUGAAGCUUCCAAAUGGAAAGUUAUCAUUCUUAGGAGUUUACAGCUUCGUGAUGUGCUUGUGGGAUGUAUAUUGAUGUCUUAUGCCUUAUUCUGAUCUUAGUUUAGUUGGUGUUUCUUCUGCUAUUGUCCGUCAGAUAAGUGACACUUAAUAAGUUAAUAUACAUCAAUAAAAGUUGAAUGAAUGUAAAAUUUAUUCUUUGUCACGGUAAACAUUAAAGAAUAGACAGAUUAAAAUAAAACACUUUGAAAAACAAGAA